UACGUAGGGUGCAAGCGUUGUCCGGAAUUAUUGGGCGUAAAGAGCGUGUAGGCGGCCCGAUUAGUCCGCUGUGAAAGUCCAGGGCUCAACCCUGGAAUGCCGGUGGAUACUGUCGGGCUAGAGUCCGGAAGGGGCGAGUGGAAUUCCUGGUGUAGCGAUGAAAUGCGCAGAUAUCAGGAGGAACACCAAUGGCGAAGGCAGCUCGCUGGGACGUGACUGACGCUGAGACGCGAAAGCGUGGGGAGCAAACAGG
rnacentral:rRNA from 1 species